UACGUAGGGUGCGAGCGUUAAUCGGAAUUACUGGGCGUAAAGUGUGCGCAGGCGGCAGAGCAAGUCGAGUGUGAAAGCCCCGGGCUUAACUUGGGAAUUGCGCUCGAAACUACUUUGCUGGAGUGUGGCAGAGGAAGGUGGAAUUCCACGUGUAGCGGUGAAAUGCGUAGAGAUGUGGAGGAACACCGAUGGCGAAGGCAGCCUCCUGGGCCAAUACUGACGCUCAUGCACGAAAGCGUGGGGAGCAAACAGG
rnacentral:rRNA from 1 species